UACGUAGGUGGCAAGCGUUACUCGGAAUCACUAGGCGUAAAGCGCGGGUAGGCGGUUGGGUAAGUCUCUUGUGAAAGCUCCCGGCUUAACUGGGAGAGGUCAAGGGAAACUACCUGGCUAGAGUGCGGUAGAGGAAGCUGGAAUUCCUGGUGUAGCGGUGAAAUGCGUAGAUAUCAGGAGGAACACCUAUGGCGAAAGCAGGCUUCUGGACCGUCACUGACGCUGAUCCGCGAAAGCUAGGGGGAGCAAACAGG
rnacentral:rRNA from 1 species